rnacentral:rRNA from 1 species
UUUCUACCACAUAAAAAUCCGCCAGAGAACUACCAACCCUAUAUUAGAAACUCAAAGGACUUGACGGUGUCUCAAACCCAACUAGAGGAGCCUGUCCCAAAACCGAUAAUCCACGAUACACCUAACCACUUCUAGCCCACAGCCUAUAUACCUCCGUCUCCAGCCUACCUUAUGAAAGUACAAAAGUAGGCACAACAGUUAACCAACUAACAAGUCAGGUCAAGGUGUAGCCAAUGAAAUGGUGGAGAUGGGCUACAUUUUCUACAAUAGAAACAUAUUACAUUGACAGAACGGAUUUUGAAACUAAACCCGAAAAAAGAAGGAUUUAGCAGUAAUGUAAGAAUAGAGAGC